CAUUGAAAUAAGACCAUCCUGGAUUAGGGUGGGCCCUAAAUCCAGUUAUGAAUGUCCUUACAGGAGAUGGAAAAGGAGAAGAUACAUAGAGACACAGAAGGGAGGAGGCCAUGUAAAGAUGGAUGCAGAGAUUAGAGUGAUGUGUCUACAAGUCAAGGAAUACCAAAGAUUGGCUAACAGCCACCAGAAGCUAAGAGAGAGGGAUGGAAUGGAUACCUCUUCAGAGCCUUGAAUCCCAAGGUCGGACAACAUCUCCACAUAUAAAAGAAACAGCAGAAUUUUUGAAAUAGCUCCAAAAGUUCAGAGUACAGAUGAUGUAUCCUCCAAACUGCCAAAAAUCUGUGGCCACUCACCUGGAAAUGUAUAAGAUCUUGCACGGCAGACACAGGCACACACAGAGAGGAGACCAUGUGAAGACACAGGCAGAGGAC
rnacentral:lncRNA from 1 species